GAGGCUGGAGAGCGGUGAGUGGAGGGGCCUUCCCUGCGAGAAGUCAGAGCUGUGCCCGUGGGCAGGCUGGCUCCGCUGUUCUGCUCCAAGGAUUACAUGUCCUUCAAACGUCCCUGCCCCUGUAAGUUUCCUCCCCACAUCCUUCCACCACUUGGGGCCAGGCAAGGGCAGAGCUUGGAGUCGAGCUGCAGAGAACGGCUUGAGGUGUUUGGCCAAAGAACUGCAGGGGUCCAACCAGAGGCUAAUGUGGCAUGCUGGGUGGGGAGAGGGCAACACGGAAGACCCCUGACGUCUGCAAGAUGCUCCCUGAGAACUGAAAAUCGCACUUUGGCCCAUUCUUCUGUAUCAGCCCUUCCCGAAGUGUGGAUCGGAGUUCCUCUGAGGGAUGUUAAUGGGAUGACACACACCCACACACAAAUAAAAGACUACAUGGCCAA
rnacentral:lncRNA from 10 species